rnacentral:rRNA from 1 species
UACGGAAGGGGCAAGCGUUGUUCGGAAUCAUUGGGCGUAAAGGGCACGUAGGCGGCUCGGCAAAUCGGUCGUGGAAUCCCGACGCUUACCGUCGGAACGGCGGCCGAAAAUACCGGGCUCGAGGGCGUGAGGGGCCACUGGAACUCCUGGUGAAGCGGUGAAAUGCGUAGAUAUCAGGAGGAACGCCGGAGGCGAAAGCGAGUGACUGGCGCGUUCCUGACGCUGAGGUGCGAAAGCUAGGGGAGCAAACAGG